rnacentral:rRNA from 1 species
UACAGAGGUCCCAAGCGUUGUUCGGAUUCAUUGGGCGUAAAGGGUGCGUAGGUGGCGCUGUAAGUCGGGUGUGAAAUUUCGGAGCUUAACUCCGAAACUGCAUUCGAUACUGCGGUGCUCGAGGACUGGAGAGGAGACUGGAAUUUACGGUGUAGCGGUGAAAUGCGUAGAUAUCGUAAGGAAGACCAGUGGCGAAGGCGGGUCUCUGGACAGUUCCUGACGCUGAGGCACGAAGGCCAGGGGAGCAAACGGG